rnacentral:tRNA from 1 species
GUCUAUAUAGAUUAGGAUAAAAUCGUGAUGCUGUUAACUUCAAGAGAUAGUGGAUACUAUUAUAGUCG